GCAAUUUGGGAGAUGAAGGAAUCUGAGGUAGGUGAGAGGGUGAACAGAAGAAAAGUGAUCGUGUUUGUGAAAAGAUGACAAAAAAAAAACCCAUCAUUGUGUGUGAUAACUAAAAUACAUUAAAAUAUGAAAAAGAACAAGGUUUGCCAGGAUCCAGGGAGGUGGCAUGGAGAGUUGGUGUCCAAUUGGUCUGGGGUGAUGGGAAUGUUUCAGGGUUGAUAGUGGUGAUGGUCGUGCAACAAUGAAAGUGUAUUUAAGCCCACUGAAACUGA
rnacentral:lncRNA from 1 species